AAGAGCCGGCGCGACUCCCGGCCUGCGACCGUCGCCACCAUGCUGUGCCGCGCCGCCCUCGCCGCGCUCUCGCCGCUCGCACUCGUGCUACUGUUUUGGUGCGGGCCGGGCGGCGAGUCGAAACCCUUCCUCGCGCCUCUGCUUCUGAGCGGCGGGCUAAACAACGGCACGUCGCUGCUGGAGCUGCUGGCGCUGUCGCACGUGCAGCACAAGCUCGACAAGCUCAACGCGCUCGCCAGUCUCUUCGGCAGCUUCGGCAACUCCAC